rnacentral:rRNA from 1 species
AUUGAACGCUGGCGGCAGGCCUAACACAUGCAAGUCGAACGAGUGGCGGACGGGUGAGUAAUGUCUGGGAAACUGCCUGAUGGAGGGGGAUAACUACUGGAAACGGUAGCUAAUACCGCAUACCCUCAGAUGUGCCCAGAUGGGAUUAGCUAGUUGGUGGGGUAACGGCUCACCAAGGCGACGAUCCCUAGCUGGUCUGAGAGGAUGACAAGCCACACUGGAACUGAGACACGGACCAGACUCCGACGGGAGGCAGCAGUGGGGAAUAUUGCAAAAUGAGCGAAAGCCUGAUGCAGACAUGCCGCGUGUAUGAAGAAGGCCUUCGGGUUGUAAAGUACUUUAAGCGGGGAGGCGUUACCCGCAGAAGAAGCACCGGGUAACUCCGUGCCAGCAGCCGCGGUAAUAC